rnacentral:rRNA from 1 species
GAGUUUGAUCCUGGCUCAGAUUGAACGCUGGCGGCAGGCCUAACACAUGCAAGUCGAACGGUAACAGGAAGAAGCUUGCUUCUUUGCUGACGAGUGGCGGACGGGUGAGUAAUGUCUGGGAAACUGCCUGAUGGAGGGGGAUAACUACUGGAAACGGUAGCUAAUACCGCAUAACGUCGCAAGACCAAAGAGGGGGACCUUCGGGCCUCUUGCCAUCGGAUGUGCCCAGAUGGGAUUAGCUAGUAGGUGGGGUAACGGCUCACCUAGGCGACGAUCCCUAGCUGGUCUGAGAGGAUGACCAGCCACACUGGAACUGAGACACGGUCCAGACUCCUACGGGAGGCAGCAGUGGGGAAUAUUGCACAAUGGGCGCAAGCCUGAUGCAGCCAUGCCGCGUGUAUGAAGAAGGCCUUCGGGUUGUAAAGUACUUUCAGCGGGGAGGAAGGGAGUAAAGUUAAUACCUUUGCUCAUUGACGUUACCCGCAGAAGAAGCACCGGCUAACUCCGUGCCAGCAGCCGCGGUAAUACGGA